GAUGAGCGUCUCAAAACUGCUGGAGUCCGGUAACAACAUCAACCAGGCGAUGAUACUCUGAGGACGGAGAUUGAUAGAACAUAGAUUCUCCUUACUUGGUCUCACAUUAUCUCCAUUAAUAACAUUGGGAGAAUUCAAAGGGAGGUAAUAGUUCUACACAGAAGAGUAAGUCUCUUUGUAUCCACUCGGUUCAGAGUCACGCAAGCGUUAUUCGACUCCAACCAGAGCGGCUAAAAAGGAGACUAACACAAAGUGUAAAAAGAUCAAUCAGGGGGUUGGGGUCGGCAGGUACUUAUUUGUCAAACACACACUAUUACAUCGGUGACAACUACGGUCUUUGGAAAAACUACCCUGCUAGCAGAUCUUUCUUCCUGUUUGUUUCUAUCAGUUCACUUAUCCGUGUCGCGAGUUUGUUCUUUCGCGUUCUCGUUUGUUUGUGUCCGCGGGAGAAACCUCUGUCGACAGCCGCUAACGAAUCCCGUUGAGCAUGCGCAUUAGUCACCUCCACGUUUUCGGGGGUAGUCACAUGGUUUAACCGAUUGUUUUCAGAGGUGUGACAGCUUUUAGGAAUUGAUUCACGCCGGUAAUGAUUUGAAACACUCAAGCGAUCAGAUUUCCAAAACUUUUGACGAGAAUUCUCACAACUGACACCAUAUAUAAUAAAAAAAAAUAAGAAUUAAUUGUUUAACUAGUCUGUAGAAUUUAUACGCUGUUAUUACAGUUAAUCAAGAGUGCAGAAGUUCGAGGCUCCUGAUGGACAGAUGGUUCGAAGCUCCUGAUGGACAGAUGUUUCUAAUUGAACCGGACAUAAAUAUGCCCUCGCCCUGUCCGUUAUUAAUAGAGAAAGACGGGCCACCACAGCAAGCCCGUACAUAAAAACCCUUACAUUGAACAGCAUGGCCGGGAGUGGAGUGUGGCGCUUAGUGUGGACCAUCGCAAGGAAUUCUGGGAGAUGUCCUUCACGCGCUGCAACAUACACCAGUCUACAACGAGAGGAGUACUGAUUAGACAAGUCGAGUGAACGGGACGAGUACUGAUUAGACAAGUCGAGUGAACGAGAGGAGUACUGAUUAGACAAGUCGAGUGAACGAGAGGAGUACUGAUUAGACAAGUCGAGUGAACGAGACGAGUACUGAUUAGACAAGUCGAGUGAACGAGAGGAGUACUGAUUAGACAAGUCGAGUGAACGAGAGGAGUACUGAUUAGACAAGUCGAGUGAACGAGAGGAGUACUGAUUAGAAAAGUCAUGUGAAGGGGACGAGUACUUAUUAGACGAGUCAGGUGAACAAGACGAGUACUGAUCAGACGAGACGGGUGAACGAGAUGAGUACUGAUUAGACGCGUCGGGUGAACGUGACGCAUUCUGAUUAGACGGGUCGGAUGAACGAGACGAGUACUAAUUAGACGAGUCGGAUGAACAAGACAAGUACUAAUCAGACGAGUCGGAUGAACAAAAAGAGUACUGAUCAAACGGGUCGGAUAAACAAGACGAGUACUGAUUAGACAACUCGAUGAACGAGACGAGUACUGAUGAGACGAGUACUGAUUAGACGAGUCGGAUAAACAAGACGAGUAGUGAUCAGACGAGUCGGGUAAACGAAAUGAGUAAUAAUUGGGCGAGCCGAGUGAACGAGAUGAGUACUGAUUGGACGGACAAUGAGGAAAGGGUGUAUGGUGGUUCGUUUUGAUUUCUUACCGUCCUCCGGAGAAUGCCGAUCCAUUGGCAGCACCAAACGUUGAACAAGCGACGAAAAUAGGGAUAGUCCAUGCCAUUACGCCGUAGAGGCGGUUAGAUAACGU